CAGCGCCCCCUCUGGGUUUUGGCGUCGUUCACGUCGGUUCAUGCGGUCAGUGGUGGUAUUGCACCUUCACAGCGGUACUUACGACAAGCGAACACACCGAAGCAGGUGGAGAUGAUUGAAACCGUAAACACACAGUGUUAGGGAAUAAACUGUUAUAUCUCAGGUCAGACCGCAGCCUGAGCCUCUGAACAAACUAGUCCAAACUCAUCAUACAUUAUUAACCACAUCGUGUCAGAGUUAGGUACACUGCUAACGAGGUUUUGUCAGUUAGCUAGCUGUCACGGCGAGAGAAGUUAUGCUAACAAACAAACAAAAUGGCGGCGCCACACCGAGGAACAGUUGGAUGUUGAAAUCAUGGACAUGUAGCAGUUCACCGCCAUGAAUGAAGGAAGAAUGGACUUUAGAUAAUGUGUCACCACUUCAUCCACAACAUCGUCCACGAUCGCUGAGACGUCGUCCACGAUCGCAGAGACAUGGUCCACGAUCAGAGAGACAUUGUUGAGGAUGAGGGAGACAUCGUCCACGAUCAGAGACAUUGUCCACGAUCGCAGAGACCUUGUCAAAGACGAGAGAGACGUUGUCCAUGAUCAGAGACAUUGUCCCAUGCUUCGUAGAGACCUUGCGAUAGAAUCGGCGGAGACUGGGGUCACCGAUUUGACGGCACUGCCCGCGAUCAUGGAGACAUUGUCGAUGAUCACAGAGACACCGUCUAUGAUCUCAGAGACAUCGUCCACGAUCACAAAGACAUUGUCCAUGAUCACAGAGACUUUGUCUAUAAUCUCAGAGACAUUGUCCGUGAUCACAGAGACGUAGUCCACGAUCACAGAGACGUAGUCCACGAUCAAAGAGUCUUCGUACAAUGAAGAAGUUCUUUGAGACCAGGACAGAGUCCUCCAGGUGUCACCACUUCAUCCACAACAUCGUCCACGAUCGCAGAGACGUCGUCCACGAUCGCAGAGACAUGGUCCACGAUCAGAGAGACAUUGUUGAGGAUGAGGGAGACAUCGUCCACGAUCAGAGACAUUGUCCACGAUCGCAGAGACCUUGUCAAAGACGAGAGAGACGUUGUCCAUGAUCAGAGACAUUGUCCCAUGCUUCGUAGAGACCUU